CUAUCUCUUUCUCUCUCUCUAUAUAUAAUUAUAUGUGCAUUUGCAUGUAUUAAUAUAUAUCAUAUCAUGAAUUCUUUGAUUAUUAGGGUUUGGGUGUUCUUGUUAGGUAAUUCUUUGUCUUCGUCUGUUUUUCUUUUUUAAUCUCAAUUGGGUUUUCUUUUUGUGCUUUCGUUUAUGAGUUGUUUAAGUUUCCAUCAGGUUUUAAAGGAAAGCAGAAAUCAAUUUGGUGUAGUUUUAAUUCACGGCUUGUGCUGAGGUAAUUGUUUCUCUACUGACUUUGUAUCAUUUAGGGGUAUUUCCUUCUAUUUUGACCCCAUUUUUUUUCGUUAUGGGUUGAUUUGUGUGCUGAGUGAUUAUUAGAACAUGUGAUAGUCAAAGGAAGAAAGUUUGUUUCUGGAAAUUCAAGUAAGAAAAAUUUGGAGAAAAAUGAUUUUGUCGUGUUGGGUUCUAGAGAAAAGGGAGAAAAAUUAUGUGCAAUGUGUGAGUAAUAAAGGAAAUCAUAAAAGAAUAAGGAAAAAUAGGUAGAAAUCGAGUUUAGACCUGUAACAUCCUGUUGAUUAUGGAUUUAAUUCUACAUGAUGUCCAUAAGUGUAGUUGGUUUGUGUAGUGUUAAGUAGACAAACUAAAGAAAGUUGAUAUAUGUUUUGCUAAUGAUCUGUGGAUAGAAUUUUAGUAUGGUUAGGUGGUGGACAAUUCAAGGAUGAAGGCAGGAGUACGUUUGUUGAUGCACUGCAGAUAAGUUGCAGAUAAGUUGGUGUGUGGUGAUGUCUUAGUUGUUAGUCCCCGGAUGGACCUCAAGCUACAUUCUUUGAUCUUUGCUAAGAAGGGUUGUGAGCGCACCUGCUCAUGGUAUUGAGAAGAAGUUUGCUUUUGGCUUUAGCUCUUAGCAAAAUGUAAAAUAAAUGAUCAGUAAGGAACCAAGGACUAUAUCCAUUUACCCGAAUAAUGAAAAACAUCAAAUUCAUAAUCAAGUUUCUAAUUGGAUUCAGUGAAUUUGAGUUUUAAAUUUUUUUUGGGUGAAUACAGUGAAUUUGAGUUGAAAGUGAAGGAUUCUCCAUUGUCCUCCUUGUCACACUAGGAGUACAAGUGGUAGUUGAACAUGAUACCAUCUAUCCGAGGGUACCAAUUGAAGGUAAAAAUAUGGUUCAUGAAGUUGAUGUAAUCUACCUUCUCAACCAAAUCAAUGUAAAAUACAGACAAAACAGAUAAAGGUGGAUGUUCCUUUUGAGUUCUGCAUACUCAAUCUGGGGUUCCAUUUUUUCCUUAAAUUGUGCUUAUUUUAAAGUCUGUUUGUUGUUAUGCAUACCUAUUUUGAUGUACCAAUAGAAACUCAAGUAUAAUUUGUCCCUUGACAUCACAAUUAUUGUUUCGUGGUUCUAUGAGUCAAAGUAUUAUUGACAUGAAAUCUCAAAGAUAGAUUUCAGAAAUGUGUAAACCAAUAAGUACAUAUUUUUGCAGGGCCAUGGUGUAAGAAAGCACUAGAAACUUAACAUAGGGCAGCUUAUAAUUGUUAUUCUUCCAUGUAUAUCUAUGUACUGAUCAUGUACCCACCUGCUCAGUUACGAUUUCGAAGGAAUUGAAGACUCGACCAUGUCGAUGACAAGAUUGACAACAACUCUUUAGCAAUCGAGGUAGGAAAGCUCAAAGAAAACGUGAGGCUUGUUGUUCGAGAUGAUUCGGUUUCCUGUGUCGCGAAUUGAGAAUAGGAACAACAAGAAGCUUCUGCAACGCGUCAGAGCAUUUGAUCAGCAUUGCAACAUGGUGCGGGAAAAUGUUCGAGAGAUGUGGACAGAGAUUAGUUCUAUGCAUUACAUCAGAACUCCUCCUCUACUUUGUCAAUACUUUUAUAUUACCGAAUACUAUUGAAGGUCCACUUGUAAACUCUAUGCUUUUUGCUCAUGUACCAAAGACUGGGAAAGGUAAGAAGAAACCUCAGCCAGUUAACAAAGAUUGGUUCAUUAGCAAGUUGUUCCUUUGAGGCGAUUUUGUGAUCGUUGUUCUUAGAAACCCUAAGUGAGAUGUAUGCAUGAGUCGUCGGACUGGAUUUUGGAGGAAGCUUAGUAGAGAGGAUUUUAGUUACUUUGGAGCUUCAGUUUUCUGGCUCGUGUGGAACUGAUUGUACUUAAAGUCACGGUUGAUGUAGGAUUUUGUGGAACUUAUUGCAAUUUUUUGCUACUUAUUGCAAUUUUUUGCUUCUCCUU